rnacentral:lncRNA from 1 species
CCCACCCCACCGGCUGCCCAGGAACUCGAAGUCCAGCUCGUCGUGCGUCUUCUCGUACACGUCCCCGUUCGACAGCUGCAACACGAACAUUACACACAUUUUUUUAGUUUAUUUAUUACACACGCACAUCAGAAAAAUACUAAUACACACGUACAAUCUUUAGAACUGUCACGGUGUCACGUAUUACUAAUAACUUGAGUGAGGCUGAUGAAUGCGGGCGGGUGAGAGCGCGUGAGAGGGAUGGAUGGCAACAUUUAUUCCGGAGGAGCAGGCGGCGCAGCCUUUUUGUGGCCGUGAAGGACCAAAAACGAACGAGCCCAUGUGGCACGCCCUGUUGCCUGCCUACUCUGCGCCACAGUAGCCAGAGUAUGGGUGUGCAACUUGCCAUGGUUUUUCCUCUUUAAGAGGAUGAGCAGUGGCAUGGCAGGUAGUAAAUCUCAGCUGACACGCCAUGCCCAUGUGACGUUUGACGAAGCAAGGACCAACGGUUGGAAACAAGGCCAUGGAUUAACGGACGAUAAUAAUAACCUAAGCUAAAACCGCUGCUUAAUUAACUUUUGGACAGAAACGCUCACGA